AGUAAUAUUUCAAGGCGACGUGUGAAUGGCACUUUGAGCGUGUUUGAGCUGCGUGCCUUUGUUGAAGCCGGCGGGCUUGUAUGGCAGGUAACAGUCCAUACAUUUGAUACCGUCAGGGCUGCCGCCACACUCGUACUGUCCAGGCUUGCAGUGGGCGAUACCGGUAUCCAAGCAACCUGGAAUACUCGAGGACUAAAUCAAAACAUCAAUACAUUCCACCCUAAGACGCGUAUGACUUACUCUCACAACAAUACCCCGGUCUCCAGGCGCUGCAUUGACAGCCAUCGUUGUAUAGGUACCCGUUGUAGCAGACCUGGUUACACGGCUUUGACUCUGUCCUGUGGCCAUGAAGACACGUGACCACCUCCGCAACUUUCACUGCAUCAGCUCCACCAGUCCCAGGAGGUACAGGCUGACGCUUAUGCAUGCAGCUGUGGGAAUCAGUCUCCGGAAGAGACGAAAGGCGUGGCUGCUUUUAUAGUUACUUACGAGCGGAACUCGUGUAGGCAUACAGUUUGCCUGGUGACGUUGUAGACUACGUUGUAUGAUGGUUGUAACGAUGACACAGCUUUUGUUUGUAUUUAUGCUUGUAUAUAUGUUAUAUGUAUAUUGGUAUGGUAAUGACAAUCAGUAUGUUUAAGCUAUUAUUAAAGACAGUGUACAGCUUUUUCACUA